rnacentral:misc_RNA from 1 species
GGGAUUUAGCGUUUUUUAUCCUCUUUUUUUAUGACUGCGGGACCCACAAUCCAUAUUAGCACCAAAUCUUAAAAAAAAAAAUGCAAGCCAAGUCAGCAAGUCAGCUUACACAUUAGUACCAUUAAUGUCAUUAAGCACUUUUUCACCAAAGUGUUAAUGACAGGAAAGUUUCAUCCUUGAAUUAUAACGAAACUUUUCAUCCUUGAAUUAUAACGAAACU